AUUGAACGCUGGCGGCAUGCCUUACACAUGCAAGUCGAACGCCCCGCAAGGGGAGUGGCAGACGGGUGAGUAACGCGUGGGAAUCUACCGUACCCUACGGAACAACAGUUGGAAACGACUGCUAAUACCGUAUACGCCCUUAGGGGGAAAGAUUUAUCGGGGUAUGAUGAGCCCGCAUUGGAUUAGCUAGUUGGUGGGGUAAAGGCCUACCAAGGCGACGAUCCAUAGCUGGUCUGAGAGGAUGAUCAGCCACAUUGGGACUGAGACACGGCCCAAACUCCUACGGGAGGCAGCAGUGGGGAAUAUUGGACAAUGGGCGCAAGCCUGAUCCAGCCAUGCCGCGUGAGUGAUGAAGGUCUUAGGAUUGUAAAGCUCUUUCACCGAUGAAGAUAAUGACGGUAGUCGGAGAAGAAGCCCCGGCUAACUUCGUGCCAGCCGCCGCAGUAA
rnacentral:rRNA from 1 species